UUGGACAUUGGUACGAGUCUAACAUGUUAAACACACCAUCAUUAUUAGUCCGCUGUGUGAAUCUUUGGUGUUGUAUUUAAGUCGUGGCUAAAUACAUUACUAACCAUUUUUUUUAAAUAAUGAUGUGAAAGAAACCUAAUUCUUCAAAUUUUGUUUUAUUAGCGAGACUGUGAAAUAUAGAAAAAUUACCAAACUUCGAAAGAGAAUAUGGGGUGUUAGGUGGUGUUUUUUUUUUUUUUUUUUUUAGAAAUCUUUUUUUAAAAAUAUAUGUCAGCGAGAGAUAAUACAUUUAUGUCUGCACCUUCUCGUAGACAAUUUGCUUUUUAAAAGACCGCAUACGUCAAAACAAUUGUACAUCCUCUUCCUCAAAACGAAAUAUACUUAAGUCUGCGGAUGGAAAUAUGUUUCUCGCAUAUUCUUUUAGACUAAAAAAAGACACACACACAAAUAUAUAUAUAUAUAUAUAUAUAUAUAUAUAUAUAUAUAUAUAUAUAUAUAUAUAUAUAUAUAUAUAUAUAUAUAUAUAUAUAGACACACACAAUGUUCAUAUCAAAUUUUCUGACACCCCAACCCUAAGAACUAUCGCACACAACCUCUCUUCUCUUCCAUCGUAGCUUCCACCCUCUUCAUCACUGAUCGUCGAUGCUGCCUCCCAUGUCGUGAGCCACCGACACUAUUGCUUUCUUUCCGACGUUGCUUCCUUUUGCCUUUGUCGAAGCUUUGUUUUACCUCCACCGCAGAUUCUUUCAGCCUCCAUUGCGGCCUCCUUUCAUCUUCUCCAUCAUUGGUCGUCGUGGCCUGCAGUUGUUUCCUUCCCUACGUUCAUUCUUUUACAUCGCUAUAGCUUCUUUCUCCAUCACCAGGGAUGUGUAGGGUAAAAGACAUGUCACAAAGAAGAAUGUGGAUUGUUGUUAUGUGGUGAUAUGAUGAGAUGCAUUGUGAUCCGGUUGAAUUCAUAUAGUGUUGCAGAACUUGUUUGAAUAUGGAGCAUUCAAACUAUUCAAACUCAAGAAUAGGGGAGUAAUCAAUAAUAUGAAUAAAAGUAGGGGUUUUUUAGUUUUGAAAUCUAUGUAUUUGUUUAUGAAGAUAAAAGAAGAUAGGUUAAUAUAUUGGGAAAUUAAGUAAUCUAGCCCAUAUAAAUGAAAUUUUUGAAAAAACAACCAAUAUUUUUUAAUUUUUGUAAAAUGACAAGUAUGAUUGGAACAGGGCAUUCUAUGUUGGUGAUUUGUUAUCAUCAUUGUUAUUUAAGUGUAAUGGGAUUACUUUGUUGACCAAAAGUGAUCUUGAUAAAUAUUAAACAAGUAAGGAAGGUGUAGAGUACACACUUGUUUAAGUUCGAUCAAGUAUCAAAGUACAUUGUCAUUUAGGGGGAAGCCCCUGAACGAACGGGGGUUCGGGGGCAGUGCCCCUGGGAGCGGGGUCCAAGGGGCAGAGCCCCUAGCUGGUGGUUUUGGUGGUUUUUAGAAAUCCGGUUUUUUAAAUAAUUGACCCAUUUUUUACUUUUAUUCAGUUGACCCAUUUUAUGACCGUUUUGGUGGUUUUGUGACAGUUUUAAACUGUCAUGUGAUAGUUUUCAGACAAAGAUCUAAAUUCAGUUUUUUGGUCUCUUUUCUGGUACUCACGAAAUCAUAUCCUCUCAUUCUCUUUCUUUUUAUCUGAUUUAAUCCGAGUCUUAUCCAAUUGAGGAUUUGGGAGUACCACCCAAAUACUUCGAUUAGAAAGUGAUUAUCACGAUUCUCAAAUUUCCAAGUGCCACUACACCAUAUUUCUAACAUUCUAGAGUGAACUACGGAUACCAAAGUAGGAUUUCGGAGACAGUUUUCCAAUUUUUUUUUUGAGAUUAUGUUUGUUAGAACAUGAAAAGUAAUCCUUAAGCAAUCCGAGAUGAAGCAUGUCCGAGGUGAAAGCAUUCUGAAGUGAAGUCCAUUCCGAAGUCAAGAUCAGUCUGAGAUGCAUCUUUGUGUUGAAGUAUUUUGUGUCUGUAAUGUGCAUUUAUUAUUGCAAGUACUACUUUGUAUUGUACUUAUUGUCUCAUAGUAUAGUAUAAGCAACAAGAUUAACAACAAUGAAUGUGACAGCCUGCUCAUAUUCAUAAGUCUCAUAGUCCAUGCACACUUUAUCAGAUUUGUCUUUUAGUUACUCCUUAACUAUUUAAGAAGUAGUCAUCUUUGUAUCAAAGUGUGGAAUAUGCACAUUUUUCACUUAUAUCAAGAGUCAUUCAGUCAAUGAUUCUAUCUUACAUUCUUCUUGUUCUUGAAUCACUUUACAUUGUUCAUACUUAUUAAUUAUUUA